UACAGAGGUCUCAAGCGUUGUUCGGAUUCAUUGGGCGUAAAGGGUGCGUAGGCGGCGCGGUAAGUCGGGUGUGAAAUCUCGGAGCUUAACUCCGAAACUGCAUUCGAUACUGCGUGGCUUGAGUACUGGAGAGGUUGGUGGAAUUCUCGGUGUAGAGGUGAAAUUCGUAGAUAUCGAGAGGAACACCGGUGGCGAAGGCGGCCAACUGGACAGAUACUGACGCUGAGACACGAAAGCGUGGGGAGCAAACAGG
rnacentral:rRNA from 1 species